rnacentral:lncRNA from 1 species
CCCCAGUACCAGUGGAAGCAAAGUAGCCCCAUAACAUCAAAGAUCCACCACCAUAUUUUACCAUAUGAGGUAUGCUGCAUAUGCUUCUGUUUUUCAACGCCAAACCCUCCACUGGUGUCUGUGGCCAAAGAUAUCUAUUUUCAUGUCAUUUGACCACAGCACUGCCUGGAGUUUGAUAAGCGGCAUUGGCACUUGGAUUGGAACCGGUACUAUGGUCAGAUUACAUGAAAAUAUAUAUUUUUUAGCAUACAAUAUAGCUCAGUAUUUGUAUUAUACAUGUUUUUCUCAUCUUUAUCAAGGGUGCCAAUAAUUAUAGACCUGACUGGACUUCAUUUAACUAAGUACAAUCAGUUAUUUUUCUUUAUGGAGGACGCAAUACAGAAUGUUUAUUCACACACUGGACAUAUUUUGUCAAAUUAUUAGCUAUGCACAUUUAUAUGCAAUGUAACAUUUUGAGCUAUUAAAGCCUUGUGUAAAUGAAUGCGGCCCACUGAUUUAUCAAAAACCCUUUAUCAUGCUGAGACCAAGGUCUCUUUUACAGAAGAGCGCUGUAAUUAAAUAAAUAUUCACCAAAAUAUACACAUCAAUGCGCUACAAAAAGCAAAACAGAGCUACAAAACACAAUCAUAGAAAACAAACACAUUCUUCAGUAAAAAGGUCCUCAAUAAGUCAUAAUAAAUAUUUGGGCAUCUGGAUUGACAAAAAGUUAAUUUUCAUGUUAUGAAUUGUGCUAAAAAACUAGGUGCUAAAAAACUAAGGUGCUAAAAAACUAAAAGCAGAAUUAACUAACUCAGUGGAGAUCGAAGGGAUCUCCAGAGUUAAGCAUCCCUGACUCAGUGGAGAUCGAAGGGAUCUCCAGAGUUAUCCUUCCCUGACUCAGUGGAGAUCAAAGGGAUCUCCGGAGUUAUCCUUCCCUGACUCAGUGGAGAUCGAAGGGAUCUCCGGAGUUAUCCUUCCCUGACUCAGUGGAGAUCGAAGGGAUCUCCAGAGUCAUCCUUCCCUGACUCAGUGGAGAUCGAAGGGAUCUCCAGAGUCAGCCAUCCCUGACUCAGUGGAGAUUGAAGGGAUCUCCAGAGUCGUCCAUCCCUGACUCAGUGGAGAUCGAAGGGAUCUCCAGAGUCAGCCAUCCCUGACUCAGUGGAGAUCGAAGGGAUCUCCAGAGUUGUCCUUCCCUGACUCAGUGGAGAUCGAAGGGAUCUCCAGAGUUAUCUAUCCCUGACUCAGUGGAGAUUGAAGGGAUCUCCAGAGUCAUCCAUCCCUGACUCAGUGGAGAUCGAAGGGAUCUCCAGAGUCAUCCAUCCCUGACUCAGUGGAGAUCGAAGGGAUCUCCAGAGUCAUCCAUCCCUGACUCAGUGGAGAUCGAAGGGAUCUCCAGAGUCAUCCAUCCCUGACUCAGUGGAGAUCAAAGGGAUCUCCAGAGUUAUCCUUCCCUGACUCAGUGGAGAUCGAAGGGAUCUCCAGAGUCAGCCAUCCCUGACUCAGUGGAGAUCGAAGGGAUCUCCAGAGUUGUCCUUCCCUGACUCAGUGGAGAUCGAAGGGAUCUCCAGAGUUAUCUAUCCCUGACUCAGUGGAGAUUGAAGGGAUCUCCAGAGUUAAGCAUCCCUGACUCAGUGGAGAUCGAAGGGAUCUCCAGAGUUAUCCUUCCCUGACUCAGUGGAGAUCGAAGGGAUCUCCAGAGUUAUCCUUCCCUGACUCAGUGGAGAUUGAAGGGAUCUCCAGAGUUAAACAUCCCUGACUCAGUGGAGAUUAAAGGGAUCUCCAGAGUCAUCCAUCCCUGACUCAGUGGAGAUCGAAGGGAUCUCCAGAGUCAUCCAUCCCUGACUCAGUGGAGAUCGAAGGGAUCUCCAGAGUCAUCCAUCCCUGACUCAGUGGAAAUCGAAGGGAUCUCCAGAGUCAUCCAUCCCUGACUCAGUGGAGAUCAAAGGGAUCUCCAGAGUUAUCCUUCCCUGACUCAGUGGAGAUCGAAGGGAUCUCCAGAGUCAGCCAUCCCUGACUCAGUGGAGAUCGAAGGGAUCUCCAGAGUUGUCCUUCCCUGACUCAGUGGAGAUCGAAGGGAUCUCCAGAGUUAUCUAUCCCUGACUCAGUGGAGAUUGAAGGGAUCUCCAGAGAUAAGCAUCCCUGACUCAGUGGAGAUCGAAGGGAUCUCCAGAGUUAAGCAUCCCUGACUCAGUGGAGAUCGAAGGGAUCUCCAGAGUUAAGCAUCCCUGACUCAGUGGAGAUCGAAGGGAUCUCCAGAGUUA